GCAGCUAUAUCACAUUGAAACACUAGUUUCCCAAAGAUCACCGAAGUUAAGCAACGUCGAGUCUGAUUAGUACCUAGAUGGGUGACCGCUUGGAAAUACCAGGUGCU